rnacentral:rRNA from 1 species
UACGUAGGGGGCAAGCGUUGUCCGGAUUUAUUGGGCGUAAAGAGCGUGUAGGGCGGCCAUACAGGUCCGUUGUGAAAACUGGAGGCUUAACCUCCAGACGUCGAUGGAAACCGUAUGGCUAGAGUCCGGAAGAGGAGAGUGGAAUUCCUGGUGUAGCGGUGAAAUGCGCAGAUAUCAGGAAGAACACCCGUGGCGAAGGCGGCUCUCUGGGACGGUACUGACGCUGAGACGCGAAAGCGUGGGGAGCGAACAGG